UGCAGGUCCUAUUGGGGUCAAGCGGAGUUAAGAUGGAAAAACUUGGCCUCGAUUGAAGCUUAAUAGUUGAUGAAGAAUAUUGUUAUUUCCUUUCAUUGACCUCUUCAUACUAUCAAUGGUGUCCUGAGAUGCUCCAGUCUCUAAGGUUUCCACUUCUUCAUGAAGUCCAUCUUUUUCUUGUUGCUCGACCUCUAGUUGAUCCUAAAGUUGUUGAACCUUUGCAGAAACUGUCAUUGCGGAGCUUUUCUUGGAGGCGGUAUGAAGACCAGAUUGCAUAGGAACACACUGGAGCUCGAUAGCACAUUAGAAACAACUUUUGUAGGAGAUUUUGGUUGUUGUCCAUCCUGAACUGGUGCUGCCACAAUUUCUUCCAAGUCAACCUAAUAUAAAGGUUAAAGGUUAUUCAUCAGUAUAGGAUACCACAAGUUGCAAGUUAU
rnacentral:lncRNA from 1 species